UGGGGAAUAUUGUGCAAUGGGGGAAACCCUGACACAGCGACGCCGCGUGAGUGAAGAAGGUCUUCGGAUCGUAAAACUCUGUCAUCGGGGACGAAGAUGACGGUACCCGAAGAACAAGCCACGGCUAACUACGUGCCAGCAGCCGCGGUAAUACGUAGGGGGCGAGCGUUGUCCGGAAUUACUGGGCGUAAAGGGCGUGUAGGCGGCCUGUUAAGUCAGGGGUGAAAGACCGGGGCUCAACCCCGGGGGUGCCUCUGAAACUGGCGGGCUUGAGUGCUCUAGGGGGCAGUGGAAUUCCCGGUGUAGCAGUGAAAUGCGUAGAGAUCGGGAGGAACACCAGUGGCGGAGGCGGCUGCCUGGGGAGUCACUGACGCUGAGGCGCGAAAGCUAGGGGAGCAAACAGG
rnacentral:rRNA from 1 species